rnacentral:rRNA from 1 species
GAUUAACGCUGGCGGCGUGCAUAACACAUUCAAGUCGAACGGAGUGUAGAAAUACACUUAGUGGCGGACGGGUGAGUAACGCGUGAGCAAUCUACCUUCCAGUGAGGGAUAACAACCGGAAACAGUUGCUAAUACCUCAUGAAAUAGCAGCAUUGCAUGGUGCAACUAUCAAAGAUUUAUUGCUGGAAGAUGAGCUUGCGUCUGAUUAGAUAGUAGGCGGGGUAGCGGCCCACCUAGUCGACGAUCAGUAGCCGGACUGAGAGGUUGAACGGCCACAUUGGAACUGAGAUACGGUCCAGACUCCUACGGGAGGCAGCAGUGGGGAAUAUUGGGCAAUGGGCGCAAGCCUGACCCAGCGACGCCGUGUGAGGGAAGAAGGUCUUCGGAUUGUAAACCUUUGUCAACAGGGACGAAACAAAUGACGGUACCUGUGGAGGAAGCCACGGCUAACUACGUGCCAGCAGCCGCGGUAACAC